UUACAUCAGCAGUCAUCUCCGCGAUAAAGUGUGGAUGGUUUCCGAUACGCCAGAAACCCGCUUGGACAUCCUCCGAAACUGAGAGGCUAAUACACGGUCACUACGGUCUGCCGCAACAGCUGAUUCGUGGCCGUUCUCAUGCCUCCCGGCUCCGGUCGGUGGUGGUGUGUGAUUCUGCGUCGCGUCUCACGCAAACACGGCGAUGUCAGCGGUCAUCAAACAACCGCCGGCACUUUUCUCAAAAGUCGCCGGUGGCGGAUCGCGCCCAGUCGCUUACCGAAAACCAUGCGCCUGGAACAUGGCAGUGUGUUGUUGGCUGACUCAGACUGGUCCUACUACUUGCUAUCAAAAAUGUGUGUGGUAAUUAUUUGACGGUCGCGCUGGCAGAGUUUCUGGGUGGGGGUUUCACGUUCUCCGCAAGGAGUUCGUGUUUCCCCGUUCAAUCCUGCUUGAUCGCACGGACUUCUGACCUAUCAGCUUGGACUAUGGGGUCGUGGACCACAGUGGUGACGGAGAAUCAGGGUUCGAUUCCGGAGAGGGAGCCUGAAAGACGGCUACCACUGCCAAGGCGGGCAGUAGGCACGCAAAUUGCCCAUUGCUAACACGAUCAUGGUGAGGCAGCGAGGAACUGCAAAAAUCCUGCCUGUCCUCUGGACUGGUGGGACUUGGAAUGGAUGCUAUCUAAACACAGUGAUGAGUAUCUACUNGAGGGCAAGUCUGGUGCCAGCAGCUGCGGUAAUUCCAGCUCCAAGCGUGUACACUAACAUUGCUGCGGUUAAAACGCCUGUAGUCGGACGCUGGGUGUGGGUCUGCGGGGAGGGCCUUUGUCGUGGGUGUUUCCGGUUGCGCCGCAUGUGACCAAACGCCACCUCACCACCAACCAGUUCGCUGGGCGGUGUGUGUUGUGGUUGGUUGUGUGUGUGCCGUCAGUCGGUGCUCCCGUGGCAUGGCCAUUACCACCCCUGCAGUGCGUUCCCGCACCCGAAUUACUGUUGUCCUAUGAUGAUGCGAAUCGCCCCUGCAAACAAGUCUACUUCAGUGUGGAUCGAUGCGGAAGUUACGCCCAACGCUCGUGUGCGACUGAUCCAAUUGGUACGGCCUGUGUUGCUCCUGUUUGCUAGAUCUGUGCCGUGUGGAAAUCUCGCAGCCCAUCGCGAAAACUCGCUCGAAACGACAUCACCGGUGGUUGUCUUCGGACGGCCGUUGUGUGUGUUGCUUUUGCAGUGGGUGCGUUCGUUGUGGAUUUACUGCUGUGAGUUUCCCGGAAAUCGUGUUCGUCACGGUUUAUGCCUCAGUCCACCGCCGGGGUCCAUCAUCGCUGUCACCGUGGAAAACUCAGUGUGCUCAACGCGACCGCCUGUUACAAAGCAUGGUUAUCAUCGGCUGCAUGCCCGUCCAUGGAAUGUCAAGGUAUCGACCUGAUUCUUGGCCUCACCGUGUCAAUCACGGGGUUGUGCUGGUCUUCGUGCUGUUUCGGGGAAACGUGGUGGCGUUCUGUCCCACAACACCACAAAGCGAUGUGCGUCGUAUCAACCUGUGGUUUAGCUGUGGCCGCGACACCGUCCAAACAAACGAAUGUCCCGGUUGGUUGCAAUCCCCCAACGGGGAUUCGGCUGCUGGGCUUUGUUGUGGUUUGGGUGUGUUGUACGUGGAUCACCGCAGCGGCCAUCAGGCGGCGUGCGGUGCUUUGUUGCGUCGUGGUGGGAAGGCGUCACCGAUCGACCACGAUGGGACUGCUCGAGGUGGAGGAUAUCACGGCGCCAGAGGUGAAAUUCUUAGACCGCCGUGGGAUCCACGGCGGCGAAGGCGCUCUGCAAGUGCAUGUUCAUCGAUCAAGGACGAAAGUGUGGGGAGCAAAGAUGAUCAGACACCGUCGUAGUCCACCACUGUAAACCAUGCCGGCUCGAUGUCGGAAGCGCAAGUCAUCCGAGACGCUUUNUGCGUCACGCCCCCUUCCACGAGAAAUCCCAAGCCCUUGGGUUCCGGGGGGAGUACUGUCGCAAGGCUGAAACUUAAAGGAAUUGACGGAAUGGCACCACCAGGCGUGGAGUAUGCGGCUUAAUUUGACUCAACACGGGGAAUGUUACCAGGUCAGGACAUUGCUGGGAUGGACAGACCGAGAGCUCUUUCUUGAUUCUGUGGAUGGUGGUGCAUGGCCGCUCCUGAUUGGUGGAGUGAUUUGUCUGGCUGAUCCCGAUAACGAGUGAGACAUCUGCCUCCCAGUAGGCCCCGGCCUCGCAAUUGGUAGGGAAUUGACCUCCGGCGGUCCUUCCCAAUUCCUGGCGUGCGUUCUUCUGGCCUCGUUUUGUUCGGGCGGGGGCGUUUGUCGUCUCGGCGAUGGGCGUCUUCGUUCGGGCGGGCGGGGUUGGUUGGCGCGCGUCGGGGUGGGUUCCGUGGCUCCGGUGUGUCGCCCGAGAGGUUUCGGGAAAUUCUGUUCGCUUCUCUGAGGUGCUGCGCACGCUUCCAAGUACGACGUAUGCUAGAGCCAACAGCAGGUCUGUGAUGCUCCCAGAUGUCCUGGGCCGCACGCGCACUACACUGGAUCGGUGAAUGUGUCGCUCCGCUCGUCGAGAAUUCAAACGCUUGUUCGAGACCUUGCCCCGACGUGGGUGGGAAACCAUUNNAAACCGCCUGUGUUAUCGUUUCGCCGUCCGUUCUGAGGAUCCCUUCACGGGGUGAACCAGACGGUCGACACAUCCGUGCUCGGGAUAGAUGCUUGCAACUGUC
rnacentral:rRNA from 1 species